rnacentral:rRNA from 1 species
UACGAAGGGGGCUAGCGUUGCUCGGAAUUACUGGGCGUAAAGGGCGCGUAGGCGGAUAUUUAAGUUGGGGGUGAAAUCCCGGGGCUCAACCUCGGAAUUGCCUUCAAAACUGGAUAUCUUGAGUUCGGGAGAGGUGAGUGGAACUCCGAGUGUAGAGGUGAAAUUCGUAGAUAUUCGGAAGAACACCAGUGGCGAAGGCGGCUAACUGGUCAGAUCUGACGCUGAGGUGCGAAAGCCGUGGGGAGCAAACAGGAUUGAGAAACCCGUGGUAGU